CUGGAGCAGACAAGUGUGAUCUGCUUAGCACAAGCACAUCUCCUGAGUCAGGCGAUUUCAAAUGCCGGCAAUCAAGUCGGCAUUUUAGGAACCCUUCCUGACCGGCUUAUUCCAGACAGCACGAGAAGAAGCCCCAUGAGCGGAGGCUGGAGCAGACAAGUGUGAUCUGCUUAGCACAAGCACAUCUCCUGAGUCAGGUGAUUUCAAAUACUGGCAAUUUCAAGUCGGCAUUUUAGGAACCCUUCCUGACCGGCUUAUUCCAGACAGCACGAGAAGAAGCCCCAUGAGCGGAGGCUGGAGCAGACAAGUGUGAUCUGCUUAGCACAAGCACAUCUCCUGAGUCAGGUGAUUUCAAAUACUGGCAAUUUCAAGUCGGCAUUUUAGGAACCCUUCCUGACCGGCUUAUUCCAGACAGCACGAGAAGAAGCCCCAUGAGCGGAGGCUGGAGCA
rnacentral:lncRNA from 1 species